rnacentral:rRNA from 1 species
UACGAAGGGGGCUAGCGUUGCUCGGGAUCACUGGGGGUAAAGGGUUCGUAGGCGGGUCUUUAAGUCAGGGGGGAAAUCCUGGAGCUCAACUCCAGAACUGCCUUUGAUACUGAAGAUCUUGAGUUCGGGAGAGGUGAGUGGAACUGCGAGUGUAGAGGUGAAAUUCGUAGAUAUUCGCAAGAACACCAGUGGCGAAGGCGGCUCACUGGCCCGAUACUGACGCUGAGGCACGAAAGCGUGGGGAGCAAACAGG